GUUACCUGGUUGAUUCUGCCAGUAGUC
rnacentral:rRNA from 1 species